rnacentral:rRNA from 1 species
AGAACGAACGCUGGCGGUAUGCCUAAUACAUGCAAGUCGAACGAACACUUCGGUGUUAGUGGCGCACGGGUGCGUAACGCGUGGGAAUCUGCCCUUGGGUUCGGAAUAACAGUUGGAAACGACUGCUAAUACCGGAUGAUAUCGAAAGAUCAAAGAUUUAUCGCCCAGGGAUGAGCCCGCGUAGGAUUAGCUAGUUGGUGAGGUAAAGGCUCACCAAGGCGACGAUCCUUAGCUGGUCUGAGAGGAUGAUCAGCCACACUGGGACUGAGACACGGCCCAGACUCCUACGGGAGGCAGCAGUAGGGAAUAUUGGACAAUGGGCGCAAGCCUGAUCCAGCAAUGCCGCGUGAGUGAUGAAGCCUUAGGGUUGUAAAGCUCUUUACCCGAGAUGAUAAUGACAGUAUCGGAGAAUAAGCCCGGCUAACCUCCGCGCCAGCAGCCGC